GUAGUACUCCCUCCAUCCCAAAAUUCUUCUUAGAUUUGUCUAAAUACGGAUGUAUCAAGUCAUGUUUUGGUAUUAGAUACAUCCGUAUCUAGACUAAUCUAAGACAAGAACGACGGAGGGAGUAGAAU
rfam:Triticum aestivum genome assembly, contig: Triticum_aestivum_CS42_TGACv1_scaffold_251392_3DL